GACGAACGCUGGCGGCGUGCCUAAUACAUGCAAGUAGAACGCACAGUUUAUACCGUAGCUUGCUACACCAUAGACUGUGAGGUGCGAACGGGUGAGUAACGCGUAGGUAACCUGCCUGGUAGCGGGGGAUAACUAUGGGAAACGAUAGCUAAUACCGCAUAAUAUUAAUUAUUGCAUGAUAAUUGAUGGAAAUGUGCAAUUGCACCACUACCAGAUGGACCUGCGUUGUAUUAGCUAGUAGGUGAGGUAACGGCUCACCUAGGCGACGAUACAUAGCCGAACUGAGAGGGUGGUCGGCCCAACUGGGAAUGAGACCAGGCCCAGACUCCCACGGGAAGCAGCAGUAGGGGAACCUCGGCAAUGGAGGAAAGUCUGAACGAGCAAAGCCGCGUGAGUGAAGAAGGUUUUCGGAUCGUAAAGCUCUGUUUUAAGAGAAGAAAGGGUGUGAGAGUGGAAAGUUCACACUGUGACGGUAUCUUAUCAGAAAGCGACGGCUAACUACGUG
rnacentral:rRNA from 1 species